rnacentral:rRNA from 1 species
GACGAACGCUGGCGGCGUGCUUAACACAUGCAAGUCGAACGGAAAGGCCUGCUUUCCCUUGUGGAUUGCGGGUACUCGAGUGGCGAACGGGUGAGUAACACGUGAGUGAUCUGCCCCCAACUUGGGUAUAAGCCUGGGAAACUGGGUCUAAUUCCCGAUAGGACUGCAGGGUGGUGCCUGUGGUGGAAAACGAUUUUCUAGUGGUUGGGGAUGAGCUCGCGGCCUAUCAGCUUGUUGGUGGGGUAAUGGCCUACCAAGGCGGCGACGGGUAGCCGGCCUGAGAGGGUGGACGGUCACAUUGAGACAGAGACACGGCCCAGACUCCUACGGGAGGCAGCAGUGGGGAAUAAUGGACAAUGGGCGGAAGCCUGAUGCAGCGACGCCGCGUGGGGGAUGACGGCCUUCGGGUUGUAAACUCCUUUCGACCGCGAGGAAGCCACCUGGUUGGAAGGGUGGUGACGGUAGUGGUAGAAGAAGCACCGGCUAACUACGUG